AUGCAUCUACAGAUACAUGUCGAUGUUUUCUACGAAAUUUCAUCGGAUUUUACUCCCAUCAUCUCUCUUCUUCUGUAUCUUCUAUGGAAUUUUCUCCGUGAGCUUUUGCUGGAUUUCUCAGUAACAACACGAGAAUUUCUCUGUCGUUCUUCUUUACUCACUGGUAUUUGAUUAAAAUUGGCUGUAUCAUUGUGAAGAGACGGUGUUUAUAGCAAGAAAAAGCUACCUGUAGCUUAAACCCCAAAGUUAACUCCUUCUCACUGUAAGACCUUCUUUGCCACCUCAUUUGUAUUCUUUAUGAUUAUUUUUAGUUGAAUAUUGUAUUUUGCUCUGUUAAUCAAAAUUUGGUUUUCUUAA